GACGAACGCUGGCGGCGUGCUUAACACAUGCAAGUCGUGCGGUAAGGCCCUUUCGGGGGUACACGAGCGGCGAACGGGUGAGUAACACGUGAGCAACCUGCCCUUCACUUUGGGAUAACUGCCGGAAACGGUGGCUAAUACCGGAUAUGACUUCCUCACGCAUGUGGGGUGGUGGAAAGCCUUCGGGUGGUGGGGGAUGGGCUCGCGGUCUAUCAGCUUGUUGGUGGGGUGAUGGCCUACCAAGGCUUCGACGGGUAGCCGGCCUGGGAGGGUGACCGGCCACACUGGGACUGAGACACGGCCCAGUCUCCUACGGGAGGCAGCAGUGGGGAAUAUUGUACAAUGGGCGCAAGCCUGAUCCAGCAACGCCGCGUGAGGGAUGACGGCCUUCGGGUUGUAAACCUCUUUCGCCUGCGACGAAGCGAGAGUGACGGUAGCAGGUAAAGAAGCACCGGCCAACUACGUG
rnacentral:rRNA from 1 species